AUUGAACGCUGGCGGCAGGCCUAACACAUGCAAGUCGAGCGAGCGGCGGGCGGGUGAGUAAUGUAUGGGGACUGCCCGUUAGAGGGGGAUAACUACUGGAAACGAUAGCUAAUACCGCAUAGUAUCGGAUAACCCAUAUGGGACUAGCUAGUAGGUGAGGUAAUGGCUCACCUAGGCGACGAUCCCCAGCUGGUCUGAGAGGAGGAUCAGCCACACUGGGACUGUGACACGGCCCAGAGUCCUACGGAGGAAGCAGUGGGGAAUAUGGCACAGUGGGCGCAAGCCUGAGGCAGCCAUGGCGCGGGUAUGAAGAAGGCCCUAGGGGUGUAAAGCACUUUCAGGCGGGAGGCGUUACCGACAGAAGAAGCACCGGCUAACUCCGUGCCAGCAGCCGCGGUAAUUC
rnacentral:rRNA from 1 species